rnacentral:rRNA from 1 species
GACGAACGCUGGCGGCGUGCUUAACACAUGCAAGUCGAACGGAAAGGCCCUGCUUGUGUGUGGUGCUCGAGUGGCGAACGGGUGAGUAACACGUGAGUAACCUUCCCUUGACGUGGGGAUAACUUCAGGAAACUGGGGCUAAUACCGGCUAGGAGCGCCUGCUGCAUGGUGGGGGUUGGAAAGUUUCGGCGGUGGGGGAUGGACGCGCGGCUUAUCAGCUUGUUGGUGGGGUAGUGGCUUACCAAGGCUUUGACGGGUAGCCGGCCUGAGAGGGUGACCGGCCACAUUGGGACUGCGAUACGGCCCAGACUCCUACGGGAGGCAGCAGUGGGGAAUAUUGCACAAUGGGCGGAAGCCUGAUGAAGCAACGCCGCGUGCGGGAUGACGGCCUUCGGGUUGUAAACCGCUUUCGCCUGUGACGAAGCGUGAGUGACGGUAAUGGGUAAAGAAGCACCGGCUAACUACGUG